CGGAAAGCGAAUAAGGGUACACAGUGGAUGCCUAGGCAUCUCGUGCCGAUGAAGGACGUGUUAUACUGCGAAAAGCUUCGAUGAGGUGUAUAAGACCGUAAGAGUCGAAGGUAUCCGAAUGGGGAAACCCGGCGGUGUUCAAGCGCCGUCAUGCCGCGGGAGCGGCAGGGGAACCGUCCGAACUGAAACAUCUAAGUAGGACGAGGAGAGGAAAUAAUUCUGCGAGUAGUGGCGAGCGAAAGCGGAAAAGCCCAAACCAGACGCUACGGUGUCUGGGGUUGCAGGACUUGCGAAAGCUGCGGAAACUGGAAGCCGAAGGAACUGGGAAGUUCCGCCAUAGAGGGUGAGAGUCCCGUAGGCGUAAGAGAACGCAGCGGCGAGUAUCCUGAGUAGCACGAUACACGCUAACAUUGUGUGAAACUGGGGGGUCCACCCUCCAAGGCUAAAUACACGAGAUGACCGAUAGCGCAUUAGUACCGUGAGGGAAAGGUGAAAAGAACCCCGGCGAGGGGAGUGAAAUAGAAUCUGAAACUGUGUGCUUACAACCGGUCGGAGGUUUGAGAGAUCAAGCUGACGGCGUGCCUUUAGGAGAAUGAGCCAGCGAGUUAAUGUGCGUGGCGAGCUUAAGGCGGUGAUAGCCGUAGGCGUAGGGAAACCGAGUCUGAAGAGGGCGAUUUAGUGGCGCAUAUUAGACACGAAACCAUGCGAGCUAACCAUGGCCAGGGUGAAGUUACGGUAACACGUAAUGGAAGUCCGAACCCACCGAUGUUACAAAAUCGGGGGAUGAGUUGUGGUUAGAGGUGAAAUGCCAAACGAGCCUGGAGAUAGCUUGUUCUCCCCGAAAUAGCUUUAGGGCUAGCGUUGUGAGUUGGGUGUCGGAGGUAGAGCACUGUAUGGGCUAGGGGGCGUCAAGCUUACUGAACCCAAACAAACUCCGAAUGCCGGUAUGCCGAUCACGGCAGUUGGACUGCUUGAGAUGAGUUAAGUAGUCGAGAGGGAAAGAACCCGGACCCUCGUCUAAGGUCCCGGAAUGUAUGCUAAGUGUAAAACGAGGUGAUUGUGUUGAGACAGCUAGCAGGUUGGCUUAGAAGCAGCCAUCCUUUAAAGAGUGCGUAACAGCUCCCUAGUCAAACGCAUUUGCGCGGAUAAUGUAACGGGUCUAAAGCAUAGUACCGAAGACAGGGAUAGCGGAAGCGAGAGCGGAAGUUAUGGUAGGGGAGCGUUCCAUAUGCGGAGAAGGCGUCUCGUGAGGGGUGUUGGAGCGUAUGGGAGUGCGAAUGCUGGCAUGAGUAGCGAGAAAUAGGUGAGAACCCUAUUCGCCGGACGUCUAAGGUUUCCGACGGAAGGUCAGUCCGCGUCGGGUUAGUCGGUCCUAAGCCGAGGCUGGGAAGCGUAGGCGAUGGAUAACGGGUUAAGAUUCCCGUACCGGUAUGUGGAGCGAUUUCAGUAGCUUGUGGGAAUGUCAGCCUCUGAGUGGAUUGAGGUGGCAAGCGGGUAGCGCCCGUUAAGUCGUGCCCUUAGGGCAGGAAGUGACAGUAUCCACGGGACGAGAAAAGCUGGGAUUGUGUAGAAGCAUGCCGUCCGUACCGCAAACCGACACAGGUAGACGAGUAGAGAAUACGAAGGCGAACGGGAGAACCUCUGCUAAGGAACUAGGCAAAAUGGAUCCGUAACUUCGGGAGAAGGAUCGCCUGGUGUAAGAAUCAGGUUGCAGUGAAAAGGCUCUGCCGACUGUUUACCAAAAACACAGGUCUCUGCGAAAGCGCAAGCUGAAGUAUAGGGGCUGACGCCUGCCCAGUGCCGGAAGGUUAAGUGGAGUUGUGAGAGCUACGAGAUGAAGCCCCGGUGAACGGCGGCCGUAACUAUAACGGUCCUAAGGUAGCGAAAUUCCUUGUCGGGUAAGUUCCGACCCGCACGAAAGGCGUAACGAGUGGAGCACUGUCUCAGCAGGGGACCCGGCGAAAUUGAAGUAUGCGUAAAAAUGCGUAUUACCCGCAGCAGGACAAAAAGACCCCGUGGAGCUUUACUGUAACUUGCCAUUGCGUUAGGGCUGUCCUUGUGCAGGAUAGCUGGGAGGCUUUGAAGCCUGGUCGUCAGAUUGGGUGGAGCCGCUGUUGAGAUACCAGCCUGGGAUGGCUUUGGCCCUAACCUGAGCGUGCGUAUCGCUAGGGACAGUGGCAGGUGGGCAGUUUGACUGGGGCGGUCGCCUCCGAAAGGGUAACGGAGGCGCCCA
rnacentral:rRNA from 1 species